ACGUAGGGAGCAAGCGUUAUCCGGAUUUACUGGGUGUAAAGGGCGCGUAGGCGGGAAUGCAAGUCAGAUGUGAAAUCUGAGGGCUCAACCCUCAAACUGCAUUUGAAACUGUAUUUCUUGAGUGAUGGAGAGGCAAGUGGAAUUCCUAGUGUGGCGGUGAAUGGGUUAAAUUUUGGAGGAACCCCAGGGGCGAAGGCGACUUGCUGGACAUUAACUGACGCUGAGGCGCGAAAGCGUGGGGAGCAAACAG
rnacentral:rRNA from 1 species